rnacentral:rRNA from 1 species
AUACGGAGGGUGCAAGCGUUAAUCGGAAAUACUGGGCGUAAAGCGCGCGUAGGCGGUUUGUUAAGUCGGAUGUGAAAGCCCCGGGCUCAACCUGGGAAUCGCAUACGAUACUGGCCGACUAGAGUACGAGAGAGGGAAGUAGAAUUUCAGGUGUAGCGGUGAAAUGCAUAGAUAUCUGAAGGAAUACCAGUGGCGAAGGCGGCUUCCUGGCCUAAAACUGACGCUGAGGUGCGAAAGCGUGGGUAGCAAACGGGAUUAGAAACCCCGGUAGUCC